UGCGCAGGCGGUUAUAUAAGACAGAUGUGAAAUCCCCGGGCUCAACCUGGGAACUGCAUUUGUGACUGUAUAGCUAGAGUACGGCAGAGGGGGAUGGAAUUCCGCGUGUAGCAGUGAAAUGCGUAGAUAUGCGGAGAAACACCGAUGGCGAAGGCAAUCCCCUGGGCCUGUACUGACGCUGAGGAGCGAAAGCAUGGGUAGCGAACA
rnacentral:rRNA from 1 species